UGCAAGUCGAACGGUAACAGGUUAAGCUGACGAGUGGCGAACGGGUGAGUAAUGUAUCGGAACGUGCCCAGUCGUGGGGGAUAACUGCUCGAAAGAGCAGCUAAUACCGCAUACGACCUGAGGGUGAAAGCGGGGGAUCGCAAGACCUCGCGCGAUUGGAGCGGCCGAUAUCAGAUUAGGUAGUUGGUGAGGUAAAGGCUCACCAAGCCGACGAUCUGUAGCUGGUCUGAGAGGACGACCAGCCACACUGGGACUGAGACACGGCCCAGACUCCUACGGGAGGCAGCAGUGGGGAAUUUUGGACAAUGGGCGCAAGCCUGAUCCAGCCAUGCCGCGUGCGGGAAGAAGGCCUUCGGGUUGUAAACCGCUUUUGUCAGGGAAGAAAAGGUUCUGGCUAAUACCUGGGACUCAUGACGGUACCUGAAGAAUAAGCACCGGCUAACUACGUGCCAGCAGCCGCGGUAAUACGUAGGGUGCAAGCGUUAAUCGGAAUUACUGGGCGUAAAGCGUGCGCAGGCGGUUAUGCAAGACAGAGGUGAAAUCCCCGGGCUCAACCUGGGAACUGCCUUUGUGACUGCAUGGCUAGAGUACGGUAGAGGGGGAUGGAAUUCCGCGUGUAGCAGUGAAAUGCGUAGAUAUGCGGAGGAACACCGAUGGCGAAGGCAAUCCCCUGGACCUGUACUGACGCUCAUGCACGAAAGCGUG
rnacentral:rRNA from 1 species